GACGAACGCUGGCGGCGUGCCUAACACAUGCAAGUUGAGCGACGAACCAGGGCUUGCCCUGGGGCAAAGCAGCGAACGGGUGAGUAACACGUGGGUAACCUACCCCGGUAACCGGGACAACCCGAGGAAACUCGGGCUAAUACCGGAUGUGCUCACUGGACUUCGGUUCAGUGCGUAAAGGAAGCUUCGGCCUCCGUAUCGGGAGGGGCCCGCGGCCCAUUAGUUUGUUGGUGAGGUAACGGCUCACCAAGACCGCGAUGGGUAGCUGGUCUGAGAGGACGAUCAGCCACACUGGGACUGAGACACGGCCCAGACUCCUACGGGAGGCAGCAGUGGGGAAUCUUGCGCAAUGCGCGAAAGCGUGACGCAGCAACGCCGCGUGGGGGAAGAAGGCCUUCGGGUUGUAAACCCCUUUCAGGAGGGACGAAGGUUCGGCGGUGAAUAGCCGUCCGGACUGACGGUACCUCCACAAGAAGCCCCGGCUAACUACGUG
rnacentral:rRNA from 1 species